UCCUAGUAUUUAUCAAAAAUAUAUAAAAACUUCUUCACAGCAAAGGAAACCAUCUACAAAACGAAAAGACAAUCUAACAACUGGGAGAAGAUAUUUGCAAACCAUACAUCUGAUAAAGGGUUAAUCUCAAAAAUAU